rnacentral:rRNA from 1 species
GACGGAGGAUGCAAGUGUUAUCCGGAAUCACUGGGCGUAAAGCGUCUGUAGGUGGUUAAAUAAGUCAACUGUUAAAUCUUGAGGCUUAACCUCAAAAUCGCAGUAGAAACUAUUAGACUAGAGUAUAGUAGGGGUAAAGGGAAUUUCCAGUGGAGCGGUGAAAUGCGUAGAGAUUUGAAAGAGCACCGAUGGCGAAGGCACUUUACUGGGCUAUUACUAACACUCAGAGACGAAAGCUAGGGUAGCAAAUGGG